rnacentral:rRNA from 1 species
UACCUGCAGCUCAAGUGGUGACCAUUAUUAUUGGGCCUAAAACGUCCGUAGCCGGCUUAGUAAAUGCCUGGGUAAAUCGUGUAGCUUAACUAUACGAAUUCCGGGUAGACUGCUAAGCUUGAGACCGGGAGAAGCUAGAGGUACUCCUGGGGUAGAGGUGAAAUUCUGUAAUCCUAGGGGGACCACCAGUGGCGAAGGCGUCUAGCUAGAACGGAUCUGACGGUGAGGGACGAAGCCCUGGGGCACAAACCGGAUUAGAUACCCGGGUAGUCCAGGGUGUAAACGCUGCUUGCUUGAUGUUAGUUGGGCUCCGAGCCCAACUAGUGUCGGAGAGAAGUUGUUAAGCAAGCUGCCUGGGAAGUACGGUCGCAAGGCUGAAACUUAAAGGAAUUGGCGGGGGAGCACAGCAACGGGUGGAGCGUGCGGUUU